AUUACCAUCAAUCAUAAAAUUGCCAGUAAAAUCUUGCUUUUCUUAUCACUUUUUUUUGCUUUGUUUCCAACAUCCUUAUUCUCUCUCCAUAAUUGCUCUUGCUCCAGUUUAAUGCCAUAAAAAUGGCUAAUUUAUCAACUAACUGGGUUUUUCAAGAUAGAGGAUUGAGGUGUUUGAUUCCAUGUGAUGGAUCAUUUCUCAAGGCCUCAUUUGUUGCUUCAUCUUCCAAUACAAUGUUACCUAAUAGAGGGAAGCUCCAUCUUCCAUCAGUUAGGUCUCGGUCACACAUUAUAAAAAGUAAAAAGGAGGACGAAUCCUUUGAGGAAGUAUCUGUUGAACGUGCCCCAUAUCACAGUUAUUUAGACUCAACGUCGGGGAGGAUUGAACCUGCCUCUGGUGCACGUGCAAGUAUUCCAGGACAGGAUUACUGGCCUGAAGGCACUGUUGAUCGAGUCAGGGCUGCCAGAGCUCCAGAACCAAAAGGAGAGUCAACAAGUGCUUCAUCCUUUGGGAAGAGGCCUGGAAGCAGACGUAAAAACUACAAAGGAUCUGUUUCUUUUGCUGGCUCUCAGGAAACAAGUCCAGUCACUUCUGACCUUGCCAUAACAGAGGUUUCAGAUGAUGAUUCUAAAGAUGAUUCUUCAGAAUAUGUUAUCUACCAAUCAGAUCUUGAAAGUGAGGAGCUAAGUGAAUAUGAGCUGGACAAAAAAUUUGGACGACCUCAUCCCUUUGUUGAUCCAAAAGUGAAAAAGCCAAUAGAAAAGCCACUUACAAGUGAUGAACUUUGGUGGAAUUGGAGAAAGCCUGACAAGGAGCAAUGGUCUAGAUGGCAAAGGAGGAAACCAGAUGUUGAAACGGUUUUCCUCAAAGCUAUGGCUGAGACUGGACAGGUGAAGCUUUAUGGUGAAGAACCAACACUAACAGAGACAUCACUCUACAGAGCAAGACGCCAUCUUUUUAAAGAGGAAAGGCUAAAUGCUGAACAAGAGAGAUUGCAGAGGAUAGGCCCCAUGGCAUAUUACUCUGAAUGGGUUAAAGCGUGGAAGAGAGAUACUUCACGUGAAGCUAUUCAGAAACAUUUUGAAGAGACCGGUGAAGAUGAGAAUACACAACUUAUUGAAAUGUUCUGUCAUCAGACAGAUAGAGAAUAUCGCAUAAUGAUGGGGACUGAUGUCCGAAUACGCAGGGAUCCUUUGGCUAUGCGCAUGCGCGAGGAUCAAAUAAAGCAAAUAUGGGGUGGGGAUCCUGUUUAUCCAACUAUCAACUACAUUCAAGACCCAGAUGUUGUGAUUGAUUAUAGAGGUCCAGAUUUUCAUGAACCUACACCUGACAUGCUAGCUCUUCUAAAGGAGCAUGGAAAAAUCAUUUCAAGGGAGGACCUAGAAAAGCUUUUGGCCAAAGAGAAGACUGAAGAGCAUGAGAUGGCAGAUAUGGAUGACGCUAUGGCACGUGCUGUGGAUAUUGGUGAGAAUGAGGAUGAGGACGAGGAUAGUGACUUGGAGGGCAAUGAUGAGAAAGAAGAGAAGAUUGAUAGAAACUGGAGUGUCCAAAAAAGCAAUUCUCAACUUCGCAAGUCAAAGGACAAACCUAAGAAGAAAAAUUCCUUGUCUUUGGAUGAGGCUGUAGAUGAUUCAGAGAACUUAACUGAUUUUCUUUUGGACUUCGAUGAAGAAGAGUAACACCUGCAAUGACUGAAAUACUGAAUGGCUUCAGCAUUAAGGUAGGAAUGAUUAAUGAGUCGUGGAUCCAUGGUACUGCUGUUUACAGAUCAGUUUCUGUCAACAUUUUUGGCGUAUUACCUGGGCGAGUUGGUACUUUGCGAUCAGAAGUGAGGAUCACUUUAGCACCCAAUGAACAAAUGCAACAAUAGGCAGCAGUUGUUGUGUGUGGUGGUGAUUUAUCAUAUGGAGACACGGAGAACCCCUUUGCUGUAAAAUACGUCAUUACUGUGGAAGUAUCAAUAAUUUAGAUAUGUGGAAAUCGUAGAUGUUCAUGUUACAUCUGUUGUACGUUGUAAGACUUGUAACUCUUGUAAGUCAUGUAACCAUGUUAGUGUAUAAAAUGACUAAUGUUUAUAGUUGA